rnacentral:rRNA from 1 species
UGGGGAAUAUUGCACAAUGGGGGAAACCCUGAUGCAGCGACGCCGCGUGAGCGAAGAAGGUUUUCGAAUCGUAAAGCUCUGUCCUAUGGGAAGAUAAUGACGGUACCAUAGGAGGAAGCCCCGGCUAACUACGUGCCAGCAGCCGCGGUAAUACGUAGGGGGCAAGCGUUGUCCGGAAUCACUGGGCGUAAAGGGUACGCAGGCGGAAAUGCAAGUCAGUUGUGAAAGGCAGAGGCUCAACCUCUGUAAGCAAUUGAAACUGUAUUUCUUGAGAUGUGGAGAGGCAAGUGGAAUUCCUAGUGUAGCGGUGAAAUGCGUAGAUAUUAGGAAGAAUACCGGUGGCGAAGGCGACUUGCUGGACACAAACUGACGCUGAGGAACGAAAGCGUGGGUAGCAAACAGG